AGACCCGAAACCCGGUGAUCUAGCCAUGGGCAGGUUGAAGGUUGGGUAACACUAACUGGAGGACCGAACCGACUAAUGUUGAAAAAUUAGCGGAUGACCUGUGGCUGGGGGUGAAAGGCCAAUCAAACCGGGAGAUAGCUGGUUCUCCCCGAAAGCUAUUUAGGUAGCGCCUCGUGAAUUCAUCUCCGGGGGUAGAGCACUGUUUCGGCUAGGGGGCCAUCCCGGCUUACCAACCCGAUGCAAACUGCGAAUACCGGAGAAUGUUAUCACGGGAGACACACGGCGGGUGCUAACGUCCGUCGUGAAGAGGGAAACAACCCAGACCGCCAGCUAAGGUCCCAAAGUCAUGGUUAAGUGGGAAACGAUGUGGGAAGGCCCAGACAGCCAGGAUGUUGGCUUAGAAGCAGCCAUCAUUUAAAGAAAGCGUAAUAGCUCACUGGUCGAGUCGGCCUGCGCGGAAGAUGUAACGGGGCUAAACCAUGCACCGAAGCUGCGGCAGCGACACUGUGUGUUGUUGGGUAGGGGAGCGUUCUGUAAGCCUGUGAAGGUGUGUCGUGAGGCAUGCUGGAGGUAUCAGAAGUGCGAAUGCUGACAUAAGUAACGAUAAAGCGGGUGAAAAGCCCGCUCGCCGGAAGACCAAGGGUUCCUGUCCAACGUUAAUCGGGGCAGGGUGAGUCGACCCCUAAGGCGAGGCCGAAAGGCGUAGUCGAUGGGAAACGGGUUAAUAUUCCCGUACUUGGUGUUACUGCGAAGGGGGGACGGAGAAGGCUAUGUUGGCCGGGCGACGGUUG
rnacentral:rRNA from 1 species